AACGAACGCUGGCGGCAUGCCUAACACAUGCAAGUCGAACGAAGUCUUCGGACUUAGUGGCGCACGGGUGCGUAACGCGUGGGAAUCUGCCCUUGGGUACGGAAUAACUCAGAGAAAUUUGUGCUAAUACCGUAUAAUGUCUUCGGACCAAAGAUUUAUCGCCCAAGGAUGAGCACGCGUAAGAUUAGCUAGUUGGUGGGGUAAAAGCCUACCAAGGCGACGAUCUUUAGCUGGUCUGAGAGGAUGAUCAGCCACACUGGGACUGAGACACGGCCCAGACUCCUACGGGAGGCAGCAGUGGGGAAUAUUGGACAAUGGGCGAAAGCCUGAUCCAGCAAUGCCGCGUGAGUGAUGAAGGCCCUAGGGUUGUAAAGCUCUUUUACCAGGGAUGAUAAUGACAGUACCUGGAGAAUAAGCUCCGGCUAACUCCGUG
rnacentral:rRNA from 1 species